rnacentral:rRNA from 1 species
GGCAGCACAGUAAGAGCUUGCUCUUAUGGGUGGCGAGUGGCGGACGGGUGAGGAAUACAUCGGAAUCUACUUUUUCGUGGGGGAUAACGUAGGGAAACUUACGCUAAUACCGCAUACGACCUCCGGGUGAAAGCAGGGGACCUUCGGGCCUUGCGCGAUUGAAUGAGCCGAUGUCGGAUUAGCUAGUUGGCGGGGUAAAGGCCCACCAAGGCGACGAUCCGUAGCUGGUCUGAGAGGAUGAUCAGCCACACUGGAACUGAGACACGGUCCAGACUCCUACGGGAGGCAGCAGUGGGGAAUAUUGGACAAUGGGCGCAAGCCUGAUCCAGCCAUACCGCGUGGGUGAACAAGGGCUUCGGGUGUUAACGCCCUUUUCUUGGAAAAGAAA